UUUUUGGGGGGAAAAAUACUAAAGUUAUAAUGAAAAUAGAUAUAUGUUCUUUUCUGAUUCCACGAAUUUAACUAACUGCAGCUUGGAAAGAAUACGUUUUCAAUUUAUCCUUUAUUAUUAGCAACAUAUACAAAAAAUAAAAUUGAUUAUUUUUUCAUCAGACACGUAUCAUUAAAACUACAUGUUGUGCAAAGUAAAAGUUUUUGGUACUUAAAGUCAACGAUGAGUUUGGUUCUUCCGCCAAAAGUGUACCACAGUGAUACAAACUCAGUAAGCGGCCGUACAAAAACCUCCUGCACUCAGAACAAGCAUCUAAGCACUUAGAAAAUGUCUGCUACCCCAAUACUUAAGCUAAACAGCUAAAUUCAUGCUAGUUUUUAAUCUAAAAUGCUUUAAAAAGGACAAAAUAAUUUUCCUACAAAUAAAGAUAAUAUCUUGACUAUCUACAAACCGGAAAGAGAAACAAUUACUGUCUUUGUAACAGAGUAUUUAACAAAAUGCUCCUCGAUAAUGACUACUAACAAAGCCAAUUUAAAGUAUGGUUAAAAAUAUCACUAUUUUCUAUACUUUACAUUUCAUACUAAUCACACUCAAAAUAAAACGUAUCAUUUGCAGCCAUGGACACAUCAGUUGCACUCCCAGUGUAAAUAUUUUCUUCGGUUGUUCCACAUUGCCCUCAGUAUGUUGAGAGCAGAGAAAUCAUUUCCAUAGAGAGGAGGCUUUGCAUCAUCAGCUGAUCCUCCAGAGAACUGAGAAGGUUUAUAGUCCUGUGAGUUCAACACUGCAGGACUCACAUCUGUCAGUCAACACAGCAGAAAGCACAACCACCAUGACUCUCAUCACCAUCCUCAUCUGGACGCUGACCUGCUGCUGUUUUACAGGAUGCAGCGGUCAGGUGACUGUGACUCAACCUCCAGUUCUGACAACUACUCCUGGAUCCACUGUCACUCUGACCUGUAGGACCAGCCAAGCUGUUGCUAGCUGUGGUGAUGGUCAGUGUAUGUUCUGGUAUCAACAGAAAACUGGACAGACCACAAAGCUCCUAAUUCGACAUGUGAGCAUAAGACAUUCAGGAACACCAUCUCGAUUUAGGGGCAGUGGAAGCAGCUCUGACUUCUCUAUGACCAUCAGUGGAGUUCAGGCUGAAGAUGCAGCAGUUUACUACUGUAAGAGUGUGCAUGUAAUAAACAGUGCUGAUGUGUGGACUUUUGGUGGAGGAACCAAACUCAUCGUUGGCUCGGGUGUGGUGAGGCCCACCCUCAGUGUCCUCCCUCCAUCCAAAGAUGAAGACAAACAGAGUAGUGCCACUGUGGUGUGUUUGGCCACCGGGGGCUUCCCCUCAAACUGGAAUUUGGGCUGGAAGGUGGGGGGCACCAGCACAUCCUCAGGGGUGUCAACCAGCCUGGAGGUCUUGGGGACAGACGGCCGCUACAGCUGGAGCAGCACCCUGAGCCUCUCUGCAGACCAGUGGAGGAAGGCGGGCUCAGUGAGCUGUGAGGCCAGCCUGAGUGGACAGAGCCCCGUCACUCAAACCCUGGACCCUGACCAGUGCUCAGAGUAGAGCUUCAGCAACACUUCCUGUCUGCAUAUGAUGUGUUUUAUAAGUUUGAUGAAGCUACACGUUUCUGCUGUCGCGAUAUUUCUGCAAACAUUUGACUCUCUAUUGAUGUGCAUGCUAAGUAUAUCAGUUAAAAUUGUCCAAGUUGUUUUUUAAAACCAUUGUUUAAAAAAAAGUAAAAAUCACAAAAUAAAAUCACAGCUUAA